UCUGUACACUAAGUAUAAUGCUAGUUAUCUUGGCCAGUUAACUUAGCAUAACAUAAAGACUGGAAACAAGAGAAACAGCUCGCCUGGCUCUGUCUAAAGGUAACAAAGUGGGCU